rnacentral:rRNA from 1 species
UACGAAGGGGGCUAGCGUUGCUCGGAAUCACUGGGCGUAAAGCGCACGUAGGCGGAUCUUUAAGUCAGGGGUGAAAGCCCGAGGCUCAACCUCGGAACUGCCUUCGAUACUGCGGGUCUCGAGUCCGGGAGAGGUGAGUGGAAUUCCUAGUGUAGAGGUGAAAUUCGUAGAUAUUAGGAAGAACACCAGUGGCGAAGGCGGCUCACUGGCCCGGUACUGACGCUGAGGCGCGAAAGCGUGGGGAGCAAACAGG